AUUUAAUGUUACAGGGAGCUGGUACAAAGCUGGCUGAGAGGAAACUAUAAUUUGUUUCGACCUAUAACCUGAUUUGGAUAAUGCCAACGUAGGGAAGAAUUACGGAAGAGAA
rfam:Dorea sp. CAG:105 genomic scaffold, scf244